rnacentral:tRNA from 1 species
AGUCCCGAGGUGUUACACGCCAAGAUGCAAAUUUGGAGACGCACCCCAUAGGUGCCGGGGCUU